rnacentral:rRNA from 1 species
AUGCAAGUCGAACGCUUCUUUCCUCCCGAGUGCUUGCACUCAAUUGGAAAGAGGAGUGGCGGACGGGUGAGUAACACGUGGGUAACCUACCCAUCAGAGGGGGAUAACACUUGGAAACAGGUGCUAAUACCGCAUAACAGUUUAUGCCGCAUGGCAUAAGAGUGAAAGGCGCUUUCGGGUGUCGCUGAUUGGUUGUCCCGCGGUGCAUUAGCUAGUUGGUGAGGUAACGUCUCAUCAGGGACACUGUGCAUAGCCAACCUGAGAGGGAAACGGCCCAUACUAAUACUGAAACACGGCCAAGAUUUAUACGGAAGGCGGCCGUAGGCAAUCUUCGGCAAUGGACGAAAGUCUGACCGAGCAACGCCGCGUGAGUGAAGUUGGUUUUCGGAUCGUGAAACUCUGUUGAUAGAGAAGAACAUGUACGUUAGUAACUGAACGUCCCCUGACGUAACCUAACCAGAACGCCACGGCUAACUACGUGCCAGCAGCCGCGGUAAUACGUAGGUGGCAAGCGUUGUCCGGAUUUAUUGUGCGUAAAGCGAGCGCAGGCAGUUUCUUAAGUCUGAUGUGAAAGCCCCCGGCUCAACCGGGAAGGGUCAAUGGAAACUGGGAGACUUGAGUGCAGAAGAGGAGAGUGGAACUCCAUGUGUAGCGGUGAAAUGCGUAGAUAUAUGGAGGAACACCAGUAGCGAAGGCGGCUCUCUGGUCUGUAACUGACGCUGAGCAUCGAAAGCAUGGCGGAGCAAUCAGCAUUAGAUACCCUGUAGUCCACCGCUGGAACGAUGAGU